GUGGGGAAUUUUGCGCAAUGGGCGAAAGCCUGACGCAGCAACGCCGCGUGGAGGAUGAAGGGUCUCUGACCCGUAAACUCCUGUCGGCCGGGACGAAGGUGUCGGGGAGGAACUGCCUCGGCACUUGACUGUACCGGCAAAGGAAGCCCCGGCUAACUCCGUGCCAGCAGCCGCGGUAAUACGGAGGGGGCAAGCGUUACUCGGAAUUAUUGGGCGUAAAGGGCGCGUAGGCGGUCGUGCGCGUCGGAGGUGAAAUCCCCGGGCUCAACCCGGGACCUGCCUCCGAUACGGCACGGCUUGAGUCCGGGAGAGGGGAGCGGAAUUCCCAGUGUAGCGGUGAAAUGCGUAGAUAUUGGGAGGAACACCGGUGGCGAAGGCGGCUCCCUGGACCGGUACUGACGCUGAGGCGCGAAAGCGUGGGGAGCAAACAGG
rnacentral:rRNA from 1 species